AGAGCAAAUCUCAAAAAAACAUCUCAGUUCAGACUGCAGGCUGCAACUCGCCUGCACGAAGUCGGAAUUGCUAGUAAUCGCGGAUCAGCAUGCCGCGGUGAAUACGUUCCCGGGCCUUGUACACACCGCCCGUCACACCAUGGGGGCCGGUAAUACCCGAAGUCAGUAGUCCAACCUCGUGAGGACGCUGCCGAAGGUAGGAUUGGCGACUGGGGUGAAGUCGUAACAAGGUAGC
rnacentral:rRNA from 1 species